CCUACGGGAGGCAGCAGUGAGGAAUAUUGGUCAAUGGACGAGAGUCUGAACCAGCCAAGUAGCGUGAAGGAUGACUGCCCUACGGGUUGUAAACUUCUUUUAUAAAGGAAUAAAACGAGGCACGUGUGCCUUUUUGCAUGUACCUCAUGAAUAAGGAUCGGCUAACUUCGUGCCAGCAGCCGCGGUAAUACGGAGGAUCCGGGCGUUAUCCGGAUUUAUUGGGUUUAAAGGGAGCGUAGAUGGGUUGUUAAGUCAGUUGUGAAAGUUUGCGGCUUAACCGUAAAAUUGCAGUUGAUACUGGCAGUCUUGAGUGCAGUUGAGGUAGGCGGAAUUCGUGGUGUAGCGGUGAAAUGCUUAGAUAUCACGAAGAACCACGAUUGCGAAGGCAGCUUACUAAACUGUGACUGACGUUGAUGCUCGAAAGUGUGGGUAUCGAACAGGAUUAGAUACCCGAGUAGUC
rnacentral:rRNA from 1 species